rnacentral:tRNA from 1 species
GCGGCCAUGGCGGAAUUGGCAGACGCGCAUGCUUCAGGCGCAUGUGGUAGAGAUACCGUGGAAGUUCGAGUCUUCUUGGCCGCAUCA